ensembl:lincRNA
CACAUAUCUUUUCCACUCAUUCCUGGAUUCUUGAGGAAGAUCCACUUAAAAUGCAAGUGUUAAAUACGGUGAUGGGGCCGGAUGGGCCUAGGGUGAUAAACACACUUAUUCUGAGCAUUGAUAGUUAUGCAUAGGACUGUAUGGGGCUGGCGUAGCCCCAGCGGCAUAGGUUCUACUGAGACCUAUCCCCAGAUGGGAGCCAUAAGCACAUGGGCAAUUGUACAGCCAUGUAACCACACCAGUAACUGGCUAGAACCAAGAGCUCCAAAGCUACACAGACAGGUUCCAGUCCUGCUUCUGCCUCCCCUGCUCAGUGCCUGUGUUCACCCAUGGGCAAACCAAGCUCUAAAUAGGAUGAAGCAUGGCAACUACUCAGCACAGUAUCUGGUACAGAGUAAGCCCUCAGAAAUGAUAGUAUUAUUAUUAACAAUAGUAUUAUUCAUCCGAAGUACCUGGGGCUGCGUAUAUCUCAGUUCUCUUUUCCUCCUGGGCAAUUUCCAUUUUCUAAACCGAAGUCCUGCUUUUUCAGCAAGGAAACUGCUAAAUGCUCCCGCAUCAGCGUGUAUGUCUGUGUGUGCGUCUGUGUGUGUGUGUGUGUGUAGGGGCAAGGGGCUCAAGUGUUGGAAGUGGCCCAGCGCGUGUGUGUGUAUGUGUGUAGGGGCUGGGGGGCUUAAAUGUUGCAGGUGGUGCAACGUGUGUGUGUGUGUGUGUGUGUGUCUAAGGGCUGGGGGCUCAAGUGUUGGAAGUGGUGCAGCGUGUGUGUUUGUGUGUGUGUGUUUGCGUGCGUGUAUGGGUGUGUGUAAGGGCUGGGGGCUCAGGCACUGGAGGUGGCUCCGCGUGUGUGUGUGUGUUCAGGGGCUGGGGGCUCAACUGUCAGAGGUGGCCCAGAGGCCGGUUAGAGACUGGGAGGGAGGGCAGAGGCAAGAGAGUCAGCGGGUGCUCUCGCGAGAGUUCACCGAGUUGGUAAAGUUAUUAAAACACAAAAUACACAUUUGCACCAGGAAAAAAAACAACCCCCCGCUUGUCCCGCCCUGUCCCUCCAGGCUGCGCAACGCUGGAGGGCGAUGGGAGCGCGAGACAGAUCUCGUCUCCAUGUACUUUACCUUUCCCUGUACCUCUGCUUGUCUGAGAGGUCUCAAGAUCAUCAUUUGGGACCUCCACUUCUGCUGGGUCUGUCAUCUUAGAUCGCCUUGAUCUUCAGCAUCUUUGUGAAGUUGAACAGGGGAACGACUCUUAUUAUGGGUAUUUCUGCAUUAUACUUUAUAUAUUUAAGCCAUAAUGUAAGGAAUAACUGUGGGCCAUAUUUACUAAACGUUUAAUAUAUGUUAGGUCCUGUUUGGCGUUUUAAGUAUAUUGUCUUAUCUAAUUCUCAUCUGACCCUGUGAGGUAGGUUCUGGUGUGUUUACUGCGUGGAUGAGGGAACUGACACUUAAAAUUGUAAUCACUUGUCAAGGUCAAGGUCAUUCAACAGGAUCAGAAUCAGGACAUAACCCCUGGUCCCUCUGGGUCCAAAGCUUGUAGUCUCAAGUACUGUAUCAUCCUAAGCACCAUUGAUGAUGACUCAUUUCAGGCUGGCUUAAGGGAUAAGCUUUCACCAAUUUGUUCUUAUAAAUAUUUACUGUUUUCAAACCAUGUGUUAGACAUUGUGGGAGUACAGAGUUGAAUGAAACACAGUCUUUGCUUCUAAGGAAUGUACAUCUAGUUGGGGAGAUAAACUUGCAAUGUGACAGUAUGAGUUGGGUGCGUUCGGUCUGAACAGACAGCAAAGCUCUUUCCUUGUUGCCUUGCUGAGUGAUAAGCAAAUCUGCUCCCCAACUUCUGCUCCCUCAGCCUGUACAGAGAAGUGUUCUCUGUCAGGGGUUCCAUGUUCUUCAGGAGCUUAGCAAUGUGAUAGGAACCAAAAAGGGGCCACCGCCUGGAACCAGCAGUGGAGGUUUUGUCACCAUUCUAAUGGGGCCACAGACUGUGGGAAUAUAAAACACUGACAGUGGACACUGAGAACCACUGUGCAUGGGCCAGGCAAGUGAGGGCUGAGUCCUGGUGGAUUGUGAGAAAGCACGGGGAAGUGGCUAGAGCCACCUCACUCACUCCAGGUACCUUCUAGGAGUCAAUGGCCUUGCAUGAUUUGAUUAGAGAAUAAAUAAAAUGUGGCACAUAUAUGCCAUAAAAUACUAUGCAGCCAUAAAAAAAGAACAAGGUUAUGUCCUUUGCGGUAACAUGGAUGGAACUGGAGGCCAUUAUUCUAAACAAACUAACACAGGAACAGAAAACCAAAUUCUUCAUAUUCUCACUUAAAAGUAGGUGCUAAACAUUGAGUAGACAUGGACACUAAGAAGGGAACAACAGACACCAGUCACUACUUGAGGGUGGAAGGUGGGAGGAGGGUGAGGAUUAAAAAGCUACCUAUUGGGUACUAUGCUUAUCACCUGGGUGACAACAUAAUAUGUACACCAAACCCCACCACCAGUAUUUUACCUAUAUUACAAACCUGCACAUAAGCACCUGAACCUAAAAUAAAAGUUAAAACGAUCAUAAAUAAAUACAUAAAAGGCAAAAAAAAAAAAAAAAAAAAAAAAAAAAAAAACAAAAAAAAAGAAGUGAAAAGAGCCAUUAUCCAAGAAGAAGAAGACAGAGGAGGAGGAAAAGGAGAUUGUCUUUGGAAAUAUUCUCAUGGAAAGAGAUGAGAGUUGCUUCUUACCUCCACCAUCAUAUCCUGUUUGUUCCUCCUAGGGAACCUAUCACCUUAUCCAUUUCAUCUUUGUCAAUCCAAAUUCUAGCCACCAAAAGCAAAUCACCUUACCUCCUUUGUGACAAUUUUUCUGAUCAUCUCAAGGAGAAUGGUUGGAACAUGUCUUCUCAUACUUUCUGAGUUCCUCAUUUUCAUUCAUUCAGUCAGUCAAUCAGUCAGUCUGUCAACAAAUAUUGAGUGCCCAAUAGAUGCUGACCAUUGUGCUAGGUCUAUAGCACUGAGUCAGUGUUUGCUCAUUCAGUUACCCAAUGACUUCUUAUUCCAACAAACAUCCUUAAAAGGGAUAUUUGGUUGAGGAGAAUCUACUAUAUGCAAGAUCACAGUGCAGCAUAGACAACAACUGUAUAUGCUAAACCUAGAUUCACAGAGUAUUGGCAUAAACUCAUGACAUAAGAGAAGACCCAAGGCCAAAGAAACUUCAGUUAAUAGAAGAGAGUAGAAAGGGCAUUUUGCAUGUACUGGAGGAGCUAGGAUUCUCUAAUUGGUUCAGUUAUUUAUUUAGAAAAGAAAACAUGAAGGAGAAUAUGUAAUGCAGUAGUAGUUUCUUAGCACAAUAUCAAGACAGGUGGACUAAACCAGUCCAGAUGCCUUCUGGAACAGGAGAGGGGAGCUUUUAGGAGUGCAUAGAGGCCUUUACAACAGACAUUAAGUUUCAGAAAGAGAAAACAUUUCACCAUUUUAGGACUUAUUCCAAAGAAACACCAUACAGCCAAAUAAUUUUGGAGACCAUUUAAAAGAAGAUCCCAAUAUGAUGGGAUCCAUAAAAGACAGGUCUGAAAGUAAAUAAAAGAUGGUAGAAUGAAUGAAGUCAUUCCAAAAGAGUAAAAGGAUAAGAAAAAAUCGUGCACGUGGCAGAAAUACAGAGGCACUAAUAAAGUAUUUGGACUCAGUGUGGGCAGAUGAGAGAGGUCUCUGGUUGGAGAAUUAGAUUUGAAAAGAGGAAUAGCGAGAAAGGGAGAUGAUAAGAUAGACUUACAUGAGGGGGAUAGUUGUAUGGAGACACCAAGAGAAGCAUGCUGGUUAGAGGUUGAGUGCUGGGAGAGUGGAAGCUGAAUCAAGGGCAGUGAAUGAGAGUAUGUAUUAGUUUCAAGGCUAUUGAAAUAACAGUUUCCAUGUCAUUUCCUCCACCACUAAUGUCACUGCUGACAUCACCACCACAAUAACUAUCACCGUCAUUAUCAUUGCCACCAUUAUCAUCACCACCAUCAUUUCUACAACUACUGUUGCUACUACCAUCACCAUCACCACCACCACUAUUAACAUCACCAACAUCAUAGCUACAACUACUAUUGCUACCAUCACCACCACCACUAUCACCAUCACCAUUACUACCACAGACACCAUCAUGCUCACUAUCAUCAUUGCCACAACUACUAUUUCUACCACCAUCGGCAUCACCACCAUCACCAUGAUUACUACCACCAUCACCACCACCACAACCACUGCCAUGCUCACCAGCACCAUUGCAACACCUACUAUUAUAACCAUCACCAUCCCCACCACCACAGCCACCAUCAUCGCCACCAUCAUUGCCACAAUCAUCACCACCCCAUCCACUACCACCGUCCAUCAUAUACCACCAUCAUUCAUCCCAACUGACUUACCAGCCACUAUCACCACACUACCACCACCACAUACGGUCAUCCACCAUCAUCAGUUGCCACGGACGGGGCGUAUUACUACCAUCAUCACCAAUCCACCCAUGACCACUACUGCCAUCAGGCAGUGCCAUCAGCAGUAUUAUCACCAUCAUUGCCAUUAGCACUACCAUCCCAAAUUAUUGCUCCUCUGCAGACAGAGACAGUUGUACUUCUUUCUUUCUGAUUUGAAUGCCUUUUAUUUCUUUCUUCUGCAUAACUGUUCUGGCUACAACUUCCAGUACUACAUUGAAUAGCAGUGGUGACCGUGGGCAUCCUUGUCUUUUCCUGAUCUUAGAGGGGAAAAGCUUCUAGUUUUGCACUGUUGAACGUGAUGCUAGGUGUGGCUUGUCAUAUAUGGCCUUUAUUAUGUCAAGAUACAUUGCUGUUGCACCUGAUUUAAUGAGCGCUUUUAUCGUGAAAGGAGAUGAUCUUUGAAUGGCUGCUAUUUUCAUGGACUCUUUGGCCCCCUGUCUGCAGCUUAAGUCUUCAGUAAGGACUCUAAUGAGUAAAUUCUAUGCAGCUUGACAUUCUUGUCUGAAUAAUAAAAGUUCUACAAACCAGGUGGCUCCAGUAAUCUGUUUAUUAUCAUUUCUCUUUCCUAGUUAGAAUUUAUCAUUUUUCAUCUGUGUGAAAAGGAGUCUCUUCAUCAUUUCUAGGCUAUGCUAUACUUCUGUAUCCAGAAACUCUGACUUAGAGAGCCUGGGAGAUGUGAGAGCAUUUGACAGAUACAUAAGUUAAUGAAAAGAAUAUUUAAUCUAUUUUUUUUAGAUGGGAACGCUGAGACCCAAGAACUUGGAAUGUCUAUACCUAAAUGCAGGUAAAUUUUUUUUUACAAGAGUUUAUAUUAAGUGCCUCAUGGAGACUGAGAAGACUUACAUCUCUUAAUGUUUUGAGAUUGACCAAUUUUAAGUUAGUUUCCAAGAAAAGGAAAAAAUAAAGAAAUGAUCAAC